ensembl:lncRNA
UUUUUUUUUUUUUUUUUUUGGUGCUCAUUCUCUCCAGGCAACCAGGAAAGCUGUCCCCUUCAAGGAAUGGGUUGAUCUAAGAUCAAUGGGUUGAUCUCAUGGGGCACAACUAAAGAUAAAAACCUCCUGUUAUCAGGUUGAAAAUGGCCAGGUAUUUGCAAACAGUAUUUUGCUUUCUUAAAUACCAGACUGUGGCUAGCAGUCUUCCCCCACUUUAGGUUAUAGAAAUUCAGAGCUCCCUAUCUCAAGACCAGGAAACUCCAGAGCAGACACAGGUUGUGUGAAUAUUACCAGGAAUAAGUUAUUUCAUCUUGGGAAAAAAAUAAGGCCAAGAUCUAGGGCGUGCUUGAUGUUUCCCACUUGUUCUUCCAGUCCACCCUAUUCCCUUCAUCACUCUUUGUGCCCCAAGUAGGAGGCUGACCUAUUAGGCUGUAUAAACAGGCUCUUUUGCACUAUAGCUUCCUAUUGGAUUCACCCCAUGGGGAGCAGUGGAGAUCAGAAAGAGGGUAGAAUAGUGAGAGCAGAAGGUCAGGGUAUUUAUUCACUGGCUCCCUCUCCGUGGGCCACUACAGGCUGGCUGAAUAUCCCCACUCCUGUCAGGUGACCCUCUCUCUCCAGCACCAGUCACCAUUCUGUCCUUUGUCCCAUCAGGCCUUCUACUAGCCCAGGGCACUGCACUACCCCUUGUGAUUUCCCUAUAACCUGCUAAUAUCUUUAUAAGUAAUCUCCUUAAUAAAUCUCCUUAAAAUUCUACUCAAAUUACCCAAUUUGAGUGGACCAUUUGUUUCCUGCUGCUGGUUUGAUGAUCACAAAAGAUCUCUGCUUAAGCAAGGCAGAAACAGGUGCAUUUGUGAAACGGCAAUGGCAAAUGAUCGGGAACCCAGUUACCUGGAAACUGAGGCCCAUGGUAGGAAUUCAAGCAACUCUUGGCACAGACAGAUAAGGAGAAACUUCUUUACUGAGAAUUAGCGAUACAGAGAAGUGAAUGCAGUUACUGAAAACUGGAGGUACUAAGCUCAGAUUAUUAAUAAUAACACAACAUUUACUGUGCCCUUACAAUAGGCCAAGUACCUAAUAAAUACCCUGUCACAUUCUAGAAUUUUUUAUCCCCUUUACUGAUGACGAAACUGGGUGAAUUGAUCAUUGCUGUUUUGUAGACCCAAACUCCCUCCUUCAGCAUCUUCUAGUAAUAAAACUAUUCUCUCCUGCAAGGAGCUCAUUUCACAGGUUUUAACUAGUGCUAACCCCAGCCUUGCCUGUCAGAACACACCUCCUCCCAUGCACAAUGCUUGGCUCAAUAAUGGACAUGUGACUCUAACAGGCCAAUAAGUUUCUCCAAGAUUUGAUACUUGGACCUAGGGAAAGACUAGAAGGAUGAUGAUAAUAGCCACCACUGCUUCAGACCACCUUUCCCUCUGCUUGGAGUAACCCGUCUCCAGUAAGAAAUCAUUUAGCGUCAGCAAAGAGAACAGGAGAGAGAGACAAGGGAUAAAUGGAGGAAGAGCAACAGUGAGCACAGAAGAGAUGACCUCAUUUGCUACUGCAGCAAGUCUCUCGAGUGAGUUUUAUCCUUCAGUUUUCCAGUAUUAUGAGACAAUGAAUACUUUGUUUUUACUUAAUAUAAUUUAAGUUGGAUCUCUCAUUUAUAUUUCCAAAAAAUCCUGUAAGUAGAUUAAGGCUGCCUUGCAGAGACUCUUCAGCUGGGCAGUGAUCAGCCCAUGUGUAUGAGAAAACUACCCAAAGCUGGAUAAAGGGCCACUCAAAAGGAGCAGGUAGAGCAAUCUCCAGAGCUGACAGAGAUCCAGAAAUGGUUGGUCAUCUCAUCAGCCAGAGAGGAAAAACAUUGUAAUGCAUGGGACACCAGGUAGAAUACUCAGAAGUAUAUUACAUUGGUAGGAGGCAAAAACCAUCGGUCCUAGACUUUGUUAGUCUGCAUUACAAACCAUAAAAGUAAGCCUUGAAAGGAUAAACUGUUUCCAAGCAAAUUAACUGUGUCCUAGAAAAAAAGCUCAAGUAUGUGUGGAGAAAUACA